UCUCUGUUUGCACAGGCAGUCUGUUUAGAGUCCCCACCUUGACGUGCUGGCAACUAAACAUAGGGGCUGCGCUCGUUGCGGGACUUAACCCAACACCUCACGGCACGAGCUGACGACAGCCAUGCAGCACCUAGUUUCCUGUCCUUGCGGACGCAUCCAUCUCUGGAUACUUCAGUAACUUUCAAGCCCGGGUAAGGUUCCUCGCGUAUCAUCGAAUUAAACCACAUGCUCCUCCGCUUGUGCGGGCCCCCGUCAAUUCCUUUGAGUUUCACCCUUGCGGGCGUACUCCCCAGGUGGAAUACUUAACGCUUUCGCUUAGACGCUAACUGUAUAUCGCUAACACCUAGCACUCAUCGUUUACGGCGUGGACUAC
rnacentral:misc_RNA from 1 species